CCGUGCUAGGCGGGGAGCUAGCGGUGCCCUGAACCCGCAAUCCGCUAUAGCGGGGCAUCAAUUCCCACCUUCGGGGCCGGUCUGCGGGGUUUAGUGGCCUUGCCGGCGGUGCUGAAGGCCAGGUCCUGCGCAAUGGAACGUCGUGAACCCCGUCAGGUCCGGAAGGAAGCAGCGGUAAGCGAUCUCUUUCAUGUGCCGCGGGGCUGCCUGGCCGGAGCCGUCUGUCUGGCGCACACCCGGAGACCCGUUUCAACGGUGGGUGCACGG
rnacentral:SRP_RNA from 1 species